GAUGAACGCUGGCGGCGUGCCUAAUACAUGCAAGUCGAGCGAACAGAUGAGAAGCUUGCUUCUCUGAUGUUAGCGGCGGACGGGUGAGUAACACGUGGGUAACCUACCUAUAAGACUGGGAUAACUCCGGGAAACCGGGGCUAAUACCGGAUAAUAUUUUGAACCGCAUGGUUCAAUAGUGAAAGACGGUUUCGGCUGUCACUUAUAGAUGGACCCGCGCCGUAUUAGCUAGUUGGUAAGGUAACGGAUUACCAAGGCGACGAUACGUAGCCGACCGGAGAGGGUGAUCGACCACACUGGAACUGAGACACGGUCCAGACUCCUACGGAGGCAGCAGUAGGGAAUCUUCCGCCCUGUGCGAAAGCCUGACGGAGCAACGCCGCGUGAGUGAUUCAUGUCUUCGGAUCCUACAACUCUGUUGUUAGGGAAGAACAAAUUUGUUAGUAACUUAACAAGUCUUGACGGUACCUAACCAGAAAGUCACGGCUAACUACUUGCCAGCCGCCGCGGUAA
rnacentral:rRNA from 1 species